UGUGUGUGUGUUUCAGUGUCUGUGGAGAAGGUUUUGACGAUUGUUUAGCAACAACAAGCUGUGUUCCGUAUUCGUCCGGUUAACCGUUGCUCACAAACAAUUGCUGGUCACGCGGAAGCUGUUCUAUGUGUUUCGUUUAGUCCUGACGGUAAGCAGUUAGCAAGUGUCUCAGGUGAUACUACUGUCAGGCUUUGGGAUCUCAACACUGAAACUCCUUUGUUUACUUGCAAAGGACACAAGAAUUGGGUUCUCUCAAUUGCUUGGUCUCCGGAUGGUAAGCAUCUCGUGAGUGGUAGUAAGUCAGGUGAACUCUGUUGUUGGAAUCCAAAGAAAGGAGAGCUAGACGGAAAUCCACUCACAGGUCGCAAGAAAUGGAUCACUGGUAUCUCGUGGGAACCAGUCCACCUUAGUUCUCCAUGCCGUCGAUUUGUAACUUCUAGCAAAGAUGGGGAUGCAAGGAUUUGGGAUGUUACACUGAAGAAAUCUUUGAUUUGUCUCAGUGGACAUACACUUGCUGUGACUUGUGUCAAGUGGGGCGGAGACGGAAUUAUCUAUACAGGGGGCAUGGGCAUUGGGUUAACUCUCUUGCAUUGAGCAGAGUAUGUUCUUAGAACAGGAGCUUUUGACCACACUGGAAGACAAUAUCCUCCAAAUGAAGAAAUGAAAAAGGUAAACCUUCUCACUCCACUCCACUCUACUCUUGAGAUCAAUCUCUUCCUUAUACCCUGAUUCUGAUCUCUCUCUCUCUCUCUCUCUCUUGGUAAAAGGCGCUUGAAAGAUACAACCAAGCAAAAGGGGAUUCCCCUGAAAUAUUAGUCUCAGGUUCUGAUGACUUCACCAUGUUCCUUUGGGAACCAUCUGUUAGCAAACAAUCUAAAAAGCGCUUGACUUCUAAGUCCUUACUUUACAGUUUCACUCUUUACUUCAAGUCCUUUUAGGGGUGAACCCAAGAAUUUCUCCAAAAACAAUCAUAUCCUCCUAUAUAAUAAUUAAGAAGUCAAUUAAGUUAAUUUUACUUACUUGUUAAAUCGUUGGUCGAUAAUUUUUUAAUUUUAUUUAUUUUAAUUAGAUUUAGAAUAAAAAAUAAGUCUUAAAGCAAUUAAUAUCACUUACAAAAUAUUCUAAAUAAUAUUACAAAUAAUGAAUUAUAGUAACCAAAUGUCAAAAUUAUAGAAAGUAAUAAUGUUAGAUCAAUUAUUUUUAUAUAUUUAUAAAUUAUAUAAAUAAUAAAUAUAAACCAUUUAUAUAAAUCGAUAUAAAUAACUAAAUUAUUUAUAAGAUAAAUCAUUUAUUGCAUUUUAUAAAUUAUUUGCAAGUUAAAUCAUUAGUUUUAAAAUAUUAUAAAAUUAGGCUUAUAUAUCUAUUUAUAAUUUUAUAAUAAUUACAAGGAUUUAUAAAUCAUGUGAAAUUAUAUCACAUAUCAAUCAAUAAUAUUAAAAGAGAAGUCACUUAAAUGACUAUUCUUUACGUAUUGUUCAUAAGUGAAAUUUCAAAUUAGUUCUCUUGAAUAGAUUGGUUGAUAGUAUUUUAUAAUAUAAUUAAAUGAAAAAUAGAACUAAUCAUAGAUAAACAAAUAUUAGAAAUUUCAAAUAAAACUUAAAUAUAUAUAAUUAUAGAUAAAAUGAUUUUGUAGAUUAUAUUAUAGAAACUUAGAAUACACAAAAAAAUUAUAGAAUAAAACAUAACUAUAUUUACAUCAAUAAAUACUACAAUAAAAUAAUAUAUUCAGCUAACUAAAUGACUUAAUCCUCAUAACAUUUUUUUUAUAUUGACCCACUAUAAAUAUAUUAUAACAGUUAUAUGAACUCGAUGCACAACAAUUAAAUAUACAAAUUGACAGACCUCGAGAAAUAAAAAUAGAAUUUUCAAUAGUUGAGUUUCUAUUUUAUAAAGAAAAAGAACACAAAAAUGUUUAUUUUCUCAAAGAAGAAUCAUGAGUUGAAUUAGAGCUAUUUAUUUUGUAUUGCUAACUAGAAAGACUAUCCAACAACUUUGAAUUAGAGAAUUUCUAAAUAUAGUUUCUACAAAGGAAAAAAUUAAAAAAUCGACCGGAUAUAUAUAAGUAGUAAAACUAAAAAAAUCGGAGAAAAAUGAAAACAUUGCAAUAGAAAAAUGUUAUGAUUUAGUUAGAAAAAAGUCAAAGUAAUGUGAUAAUUACAUAUCGGCAUAAAUGUGUGAUCACUGCAAUGUACAACAAAGAAUAUAUGUAUAUAUAAGUCACUUAAUAUAUAAGCUUUAAAGAUUUGACGGAUUACAUUCAUUGAAACAUGUAAAAGCUUUGCAAUUAUGAAAUGUUAUGUAUCUAAGUCAAAUACACCAUAACAUAGUAAAUUCAGAAUGUGGUGACUAAAAAGGAGUCCUAAGAUAGACUUUUUUGGCUAACUGAUUAUAUGGUUUGUAUUGUAGAAAAGAACUUAUUGAAAUUUUAUGACUAAUAAUUACUUUACAUCAAAAUUAAAUGAACUGGUAGAUAAGAUAAUGUAAUGAUUAUAAAGCUAUUUAAUAUAUAUUUUCAGUUCAGUUUGUUAAUCAUUUGAUAAAACUAUGUAAAAGACAUAUUUUAGCGAUUUAGAUUAAAGUUAUUGAAAUAUCACAAAAGAUCUAAAAUAUAUUGAGAUUAUUGAUUUUUAAACAAUUUAGAAUUAAGAUAAAAGUUAAAUAGUUCUAAUUAUUAUUCAAAAUUUAUUGUAUUGUAUAACUAAUAUAUCUUUUGUUUUAAAAUAUUUGCAUCUGCGAAAUCUUAAACAACAACCUAUUAUCUUUAUUGUUGAGUGAUCAUAUAUCUCUCAAUUCAGUGUGAUGAAAAGAUAGAAAAAUAAAACUCACAAAAGCAAUAAAUGGUUCUUCCCUUUUUUGUUGGUAUAAAAAGAUGGUCUUAAAAAGGCAACUACUUUAAAAUAUUAAUAAACAUUCACAAAAGCAAUUGGCACAUCCUUUUUUUGUCGGUACUAAAGUGGUCUUAAAAAGGAAACUAAAAUAACAAUGGUAAUUUUAAUAAGAAAUGAGUGGUUCGUGCUUGUUACAGGAAAAAAGAAAAGAAAAGAAUGGUGCGUGCUUUAUUUCAUCCUCUAAUAUUAUUUAAUAAAUCAUCACGUUAAAUUAAUUUAAAAAUAAUAUUUAAGGAACUGAAAUUAUUGCGUCUAAUGUCUUUAUUAAUAUUUAUUUUAUUUCUAUAUAAUAAAAAUAUACACAAAAUGCUUGCAAACAUAACCUAAAAUUUAAAUUUUGAAUGCAAAUAUAUAACUCAAAUUAAAUCAUAUGUUGUCAAAGAAAAAAAUAAUAAAUCAUAUGCAAAAGUACCUAGUCGAUAGUAAAAUUACAACUAUACUUUAUGACUAAACAAAAGAAAAACAGUAUACCCUAACUAUAACCAUGGGAAGUUUUCUCAAGAUAAGAACAUCUUCUAAGAGAAUAUUUCUCAAAACAUACUCAUGUAUAUAAUUUUAAAAUUAAUUUAUAAAACAAAUUUCAAAAAAAUUGAUGGAAAAUAAAUUAAAAUCAAGUAAAUAUAAAUAAUUCUAAAUCAUGUGAAUUUAAACUUAAUAAAAUUGAUAUAGAUGAUAUAAAUCCUAAAUCAUGAUUGUCUAUUGGUUAGGUUUUGGUAACAUAUGUUCAAGUAAAGAUGGUACUUUUUAGGGUUAGAUUUUUAUUUAUCGUAAUUAAAAUUUGACAUAUAAAUGUUUUAUUUUGUAUAUAUUAAACAUUUAUUACUUGAUUUUAUGUUGAGUAAAAUAUUUAUUUAUCUAGUUAAACUAUUUGUUUUUAGGGUUCAGGGAUAUAAAUUUUUUUUAUAAAAAAUCUCUCAAGAAGUUAUGCACUAGCAUACCUACUUAUUAAUAAGUUUUCUGAAACGAAAAGAAAAUUUAGAGUUGGGAGACUUUUUGAAAAGUUUGCUAAAACUGUAAUGCACUAGUAUGUAAACUACCUUAAUGGGAAAGAUAUUAUUUUCACCAUUAUAUUUGUGUUUUGUGUGUUAAAUUCAAAUAAAAUUAUAGUUUUAACUUAAUUUAAUCAUUUUCUUAUUAUUUAAAAUUAAAUUUGUAUUUUUCAUAGUUUAUCUUUGUCUCUAAGAAGUAAGUUAUAUAUCUUUAAAUUUUUUUAUAUUUUUGUGUGUGUGAAAAUAAAAAUAUAUAAAACCAUAUUCAUUGUGAUUAUAUAAAUUUUAUUAUUAUUUCAUUUUAAAAUUUUAUACUUUCAAAAUAAAUAUUUUUCUAGAAUCAAAGAAAACUAUAAAUUAAAAUUACUGUAUUUGUUUCUUUUUAUUUAAACUUAAAAAUUCUAUUUUCGAAAUUCUUCUCCGUUUAAAACCAUUUUAAAUAUGUUUAGAUAUGAAAGUUUUUUCAGAUCUGAAGAUUUCAUUAGCAGACUUCUCGAAUAGGCUUCUCUAGUAGAUUUUACCGUAAAAUCCAUUAAACUAAUAUUUAAACAAGAAAGUAAAUUUAAGCAUUUGAAUCGAGCCUUAUUUAUAUCCUUUGGGGAUGGCUCUAAAUUCUUAAGUAUGAAUGGAGAUUCAUAUCCAACAUAUAUUCCCAACUCAUUAGAAAACUCAUCUUAAAGCUAUAUGGUGGAGCAACAAAAAUUGCGUAUUGCACAUUUGAAAUUCUUCGAUGGGAAUGUUUGGUUUCUGGCCCAAAACCAGUGAUGGGAGAACUAUUUAUAACUUAUUGGCUUAACGCGAAUUAUGUUAUUCAAAUGUUCAAUACUUGUUUCAGUGAACAUGUCAUAUACUUAAGACAUGAAUUCACCAAUAUUAUAAAGAUGCAUAGUGGGUGAUCAAUCCACCAACAUCUCUUCUAUUUAUGUCAAUAAUUUCAUUUAGAUGGUGAAAACCGUAUUACCAUUUUAUCUUUUAAGCAAUGAACAUAUGUCAAAUUAUUCAAAAGAGUCUUUUGGCUCUUCAAUGAUUAUUCACAUAAAUCUCUAAAUGUCUAUCUGCAUCAUUACUGAACCAAAAUGGUCUACUGGUUAUACCAAGUAUUUUGUAAACUUAUUGUUUACUAUAUAUUUAUCUCUUUUGCACUAAUUUUUGUCUAGUACAAUCUAUAAGAUGAUGUAGGUAUUUUCUUUAAAUACUUUUACUGUUUUGUGAAAUACUUUUCACUUGAAAUAAAUUUAAAAUUUCAUUUACUUAGUGUCUCAACCUUUCAUAGAAAUAAGAAACUCAAGCGAAUGAGAAUAACAAAGGUGAAAGUUUAAAUGACCGAAACCAAACCAAAAGAUAGGCUUGCAAAAUAAAAAUAUAGAGUUUUGAAAGAUGCCAAAUGUCCAAUCAAUAAAAUAGAUAAUCAAAUAUAUCGUUACCAACAUAAACCAUUUUAAGGAAGGCAUAGCUUUAUCAUGAUGGAGCAUGAGUUUACAUUUUGGUGUCACCCUUAGUAGCACCCGACCCACCCGUUUCACCAAUACGAACACUAUGAUUCCCAUUGGCUUCUUCCUUGGAGAGACCAAGUUUUGAAGAACCACAAGUCAAGGAAGGAACUGUAUUGCCAGCCUUCUUCUUAUCGACAUGGGUAUUUGCUUCGACCCUCAACACCCUUGAUUCUCCUACCAAGUCAAGCUAGUUAUCAACCUUUGAGUCUUGGUCACAACCACUACCUGUCCGGCUGUCCCGAUAACAAUUCCUUUUCCACCUUUUCAGACUCAACCUCUCCAUCCUCCUGAUCAGAAACAAUAUUAUCGGAGCCAAUGGACAUUUCGGAAUCGACCUCAACGGUAUGAUCCUGCAAAGCUACAUCCGAAGUCACUUUGGAAACGGUGCUUACUUCCAAAGGGGGCUCAACAAUGUAUAUCAAAAUUUAAUACCCUUUGCUAAUCGAAAUCCACAAUGUAUAUGGAAACCUAAAUAUUGCAAUAUAAAUUUUGUUAUGAUCUCUGCACAUAGGAUAAAACUUGAACCGUGUUGUAAACGUUGACCUAGUUGCCCAUAUAGCUACCUCAUCUCUACCCCAAAAUUUGGAGAACUUGGUGACCAAGUUUCACGAUAAGGAGCAGUGAGUAUCUUUUGUUUUGAUUGGUGAGCGACUUUUGGUUAGAUUUUCAUUGAACCCUUUGAAAUUUUGUUUAUAGAGCGCUAAGAAUUGUGAAUUAAAAAAAAUCAGUAAAGAAAAGAUAUUCGAGAAUGAGAUUGGUUAGUUAUAAAAUAACAACCAACAGAUGUGGAGUCAAUAACAUCCAAAAUGAUAAAAACUAAGAAUCCACAAGUCUCUGAUAAAGGUUUUGCAAAAGAAAAAUCAAACUUAGGACUGGAGACAAUAAGCUUGUAGAUCCAUCUUCAUAAUACUGUCAUUGGGUUUCAAUGUAAGAAAGCAAUUAGUCAAAAAUUAUCAAGACAGACGAAUAAAAUCAAAUAAACACAAUAUACAUAGCAACCAAAUCAAUGGCUUGGACCACAGAUACAUAAUUAUAAACAAAUGUCAACCCAACCAACAACACAUAACACCUCUUCUUCAGACCAAAACACUUUUAAGCAGUUAGUCAUAUAGAUCAUCAAAGUAGUUAAACUAACACUACGUAAAUAAACUUAUAUUACAGUUAUUAUCAUAUAUGAAACCUAGAUGACAUUGUUACCACAAUCUGAAAUGUAAAUAACUCCAGUAUCAAUUCUAAACUACAACAAACUAUUCAAUACUAAAGCAAGAGAGUGUUUAUUCUGCAAAGAUUGUCACUAAACAAAUUAUCGUCCACUGAAAAGAGAAAUAAGCAAGAGAAAUACUGUUGAGUUUCGUGGCACAUCUUUUCUUAGGUGGAUAUCACGUAGUUGCAAUGUGGCCACUCUGCAUUAAAUCCAUUUUUGAAUCUUUCCUGAACUUCUUGGUCCCAAAAUAACCUAAAAAUGCACUUCUUAUCAAGCUCCAUUGUCGGAAUAUCUUCCAGAAGAAGUUCAUUUUUAGGACACUUUGGGACCAACAAGUUCAGGAAAGAUUUAAAAAGCGAUUUAAGGCAGCAUGGCCACAUUGCAACUACGUGAUAGCCACUUGAGAAAAUAUGUGCCACGAAACUCAACGGUAUUUCUCUUCUUAUAUUUCUUUUCAGUGUACGAUAAUUUGUUCGAUGACAAUCUUUUCAGCAUAAACACUCUCUUGCUUUACUAUUGAAUAGUUUGAUGUAGUUUAGAAUUGAUACUGGAGUUAUUCACAUUUCAGAUUUUAGUAACAAUGUCAUCUAGGUUUCAUAUAUGAUAAUAGUAAUAUAAGUAUAUGUACGCAUUGUUAGUUUGACUACUUUGAUGAUCUAUAUAUACUUUGAUGAUCUAUAUGACUGACUACUAAAAAAGUGUUUUGGUCUAAAGAAGAGGUGUUCUGUGUUGUUGGUUGGGUUGACAUGGGUUUAUAUAUUUGUGGUCCAAGCUAUUGUUAUGGUCCCUAUGUGUGUUGUGUUUAUUUGAUUUUACUCGUUUGUCUUGAUAAUUUUUGACUAAUUGCUUUCUUACCAGGAAACCCAAUGACAGUAUUAUGAAGAUGGAUCUGCAAGCUUAUUGUCUCCAGUCCUUAGUUUGAUUUUUCUUUUGCAAAACCUUCAUUGGAGACUUGUGGAUUCUUAUGGUGUUAUCAUUUUGGAUGUUAUUGACUCCACAUCUGUUGGUUGUUAUUCAAUAAUUAACAAAUCUCAUUCUCAAA